rnacentral:snoRNA from 1 species
AAGACUAUAUUUUCAGGAAUCAUUUCUGUAGUUUGUAACUUUGGUGAAGGGUAAGACAGUACACAAUACUGGGGAAGUCAGCACAACUUGACC